UACGUAGGGUGCGAGCGUUAAUCGGAAUUACUGGGCGUAAAGCGUGCGCAGGCGGUGAGUUAAGUCUGAUGUGAAAGCCCCGGGCUCAACCUGGGAACGGCAUUGGAAACUGGCUCGCUGGAGUGUGGCAGAGGGGGGUGGAAUUCCGCGUGUAGCAGUGAAAUGCGUAGAGAUGCGGAGGAACACCGAUGGCGAAGGCAGCCCCCUGGGCCAACACUGACGCUCAGGCACGAAAGCGUGGGGAGCAAAC
rnacentral:rRNA from 1 species